AUACCCUAAAUCUCAACAGCCUAUUCAUAUUUAAAAAAAAAAAAACAAAAAGCAAAAGGGAAAAAGAAAAAAACCAUGCGCCACUCCACAAUCCGGCUAUUCGGAAGUUCUCCGAUCCAUCGCCCCAACUUCGAUUACGACGAAGAGGUCGAGGAUUCGGCUUCGGAACAAAGGUUCUCAGCCAGCUGGAGGCGCACCCGUGGGGAGAACGUUGCAUGCGCCUGGUGGUGAUGCGCGCGCGGGUCCGGAUCUACUAUUGCGGCACCAGCAAAAACCCUAGAAGCUUCUAGGGUACUCCACCGAUUCGGGCUGAAUUCUAAGGCUUGGGUUUAGGGUCUGUCGGGUCUAGCUGAUUCGGGUUUGGUAUUGGGCUGUAUUAUUUGGGUAUUUGUUCAGGUUUAUUUGUAGUUGGGUUUUGGGUUUAAUUUAUGGUAUGUAAUUAGGUGGUGUAUUGGGCUGACUAGGUUGGGUAUUAGGAAAUUUGGGUUGGGGCUAUUUUGUAAUUGGGUUAUGUCAGUGAUUUCGGGCUAGUUGGGUUUGUAGGCUGAAUGUAAUAUGGGCCUGGAUUUUAUUAGAUUUGUAAUACUGGACUGUAUUAGACUUUUAUUAUAUUAAUUAUAUAUAUAUUUUAUAUUUGGGUUUUA